rnacentral:rRNA from 1 species
CGAACGGCAGCGGGGGUAGCUUGCUACCUGCCGGCGAGUGGCGAACGGGUGAGUAAUACAUCGGAACGUGCCCUGUAGUGGGGGAUAACUAGUCGAAAGACUAGCUAAUACCGCAUACGACCUGAGGGUGAAAGUGGGGGACCGCAAGGCCUCAUGCUAUAGGAGCGGCCGAUGUCUGAUUAGCUAGUUGGUGGGGUAAAGGCCCACCAAGGCGACGAUCAGUAGCUGGUCUGAGAGGACGAUCAGCCACACUGGGACUGAGACACGGCCCAGACUCCUACGGGAGGCAGCAGUGGGGAAUUUUGGACAAUGGGGGCAACCCUGAUCCAGCAAUGCCGCGUGUGUGAAGAAGGCCUUCGGGUUGUAAAGCACUUUUGUCCGGAAAGAAAUCGCACUGGUUAAUACCUGGUGUGGAUGACGGUACCGGAAGAAUAAGGACCGGCUAACUACGUGCCAGCAGCCGCGGUAAUACGUAGGGUCCAAGCGUUAAUCGGAAUUACUGGGCGUAAAGCGUGCGCAGGCGGUUGUGCAAGACCGAUGUGAAAUCCCCGGGCUUAACCUGGGAAUUGCAUUGGUGACUGCACGGCUAGAGUGUGUCAGAGGGAGGUAGAAUUCCACGUGUAGCAGUGAAAUGCGUAGAGAUGUGGAGGAAUACCGAUGGCGAAGGCAGCCUCCUGGGAUAACACUGACGCUCAUGCACGAAAGCGUGGGGAGCAAACAGGAUUAGAUACCCUGGUA